UCCGUAGGUGGAUAAUUAAGUCAGAGGUGAAAUCCUGCAGCUCAACUGUAGAGUUGCCUUUGAUACUGGUUAUCUUGAGUUAUUAUGAAGUAGUUAGAAUAUGUAGUGUAGCGGUGAAAUGCAUAGAUAUUACAUAGAAUACCAAUUGCGAAGGCAGAUUACUAAUAAUCAACUGACACUGAUGGACGAAAGCGUGGGGAGCGAACAGGAUUAGAUACCCUGGUAGUCC
rnacentral:rRNA from 1 species